rnacentral:tRNA from 1 species
GCGCCUUUAGCUCAGUUGGUAGAGCACCUGACUCUUAAUCAGGGUGUCCCCGGUUCGAGUCCGUGAAGGCGCACCA